rnacentral:rRNA from 1 species
UAGAGGAAGUAAAAGUCGUAACAAGGUCUCCGUUGGUGAACCAGCGGAGGGAUCAUUACUGAGUUUACGCUCUACAACCCUUUGUGAACAUACCUAUAACUGUUGCUUCGGCGGGCAGGGUCUCCGUGACCCUCCCGGCCUCCCGCCCCCGGGCGGGUCGGCGCCCGCCGGAGGAUAACCAAACUCUGAUUUAACGACGUUUCUUCUGAGUGGUACAAGCAAAUAAUCAAAACUUUUAACAACGGAUCUCUUGGUUCUGGCAUCGAUGAAGAACGCAGCGAAAUGCGAUAAGUAAUGUGAAUUGCAGAAUUCAGUGAAUCAUCGAAUCUUUGAACGCACAUUGCGCCCGCCAGCAUUCUGGCGGGCAUGCCUGUUCGAGCGUCAUUUCAACCCUCAAGCUCUGCUUGGUGUUGGGGCCCUACGGCUGACGUAGGCCCUCAAAGGUAGUGGCGGACCCUCCCGGAGCCUCCUUUGCGUAGUAACUUUACGUCUCGCACUGGGAUCCGGAGGGACUCUUGCCGUAAAACCCCCAAUUUUCCAAAGGUUGACCUCGGAUCAGGUAGGAAUACCCGCUGAACUUAAGCAUAUCAAUAAGCGG